UUAUAUAAGUUAUCGUUUAUUUGAUAGUACCUUACUACUUGGAUAACCGUGGUAAUUCUAGAGCUAAUACAUGCUAAAAAUCCCGACUUCGGAAGGGAUGUAUUUAUUAGAUUAAAAACCAAUGCCCUUCGGGGCUCACUGGUGAUUCAUGAUAACUCCUCGAAUCGCAUGGCCUUGUGCCGGCGAUGGUUCAUUCAAAUUUCUUCCCUAUCAACUUUCGAUGUUUGGGUAUUGGCCAAACAUGGUUGCAACGGGUAACGGAGGGUUAGGGCUCGACCCCGGAGAAGGAGCCUGAGAAACGGCUACUACAUCCAAGGAAGGCAGCAGGCGCGCAAAUUACCCAAUCCCGACACGGGGAGGUAGUGACAAUAAAUACUGAUACAGGGCUCUUUUGGGUCUUGUAAUUGGAAUGAGUACAAUUUAAAUCCCUUAACGAGGAACAAUUGGAGGGCAAGUCUGGUGCCAGCAGCCGCGGUAAUUCCAGCUCCAAUAGCGUAUAUUAAAGUUGUUGUGGUUAAAAAGCUCGUAGUUGAACCUUGGGCCUGGCUGGCCGGUCCGCCUCACCGCGUGUACUGGUCCGGCCGGGCCUUUCCCUCUGUGGAACCCCAUGCCCUUCACUGGGUGUGGUGGGGAAACAGGACUUUUACUGUGAAAAAAUUAGAGUGCUCCAGGCAGGCCUAUGCUCGAAUACAUUAGCAUGGAAUAAUAGAAUAGGACGUGUGGUUCUAUUUUGUUGGUUUCUAGGACCGCCGUAAUGAUUAAUAGGGACAGUC
rnacentral:rRNA from 1 species